GUGCUUGCUUCAGGAACAUGUGUACUAAAAUUGUAACAGUAAAGAGAUUAGCAUGGCCCCUGUGCAAGGUUUACAUGCAAAUUCGUGAAGCAUUCCAUGUUUUA